AACAAGUUAACCAAUAUAAUAUGGAUUAUUAAAACUAUGAUAUAAUUUCUGUUAUGAAUCGAUUCUUGGAAUUGUUUGAAACUGUUAUAAAAAGGGUAGCACUAAUAACAUCUUUGUUGACUGGUCAGUUCAAAUUGACACAUAAAAAGUUUCUAAAGGAUAAUGCUAGGGUGAACCAGAAAAUGACAAGGAUAUGCAGUGAAGGCUUAAAUUAGGCAAGAACCUAAGUUUGGGAGAAUAUAUGUGGGGUAUAUAAGCUUUGUAAAUAUAUAUAUAUAUAUAUAUAUAUAUAUAUAUAUAGGGUAUACAUGGUGACUAGUCUUGUUUCGGGGCCUUUGUUACUUGAGCAAGUAAGCCCAAGGGGAUUGUCUUUACACCUAGCGCCCUAAGGUCUUUUAUGGUAUGGGAGUCAUUGGUCGAAAGCUCGCUAAGGGGUAAUACUGUUAGCCUAAUGAGAUGAGACAUUGCACAGUCAUUUAUGUAUAUUUUUUUUAAAAAAAGAUAAGAAUAAAACGGGAAAAGUGCAAAAAGCCCCCGUAUGAAAAAAAAG
rnacentral:lncRNA from 1 species